GACGAACGCUGGCGGCGUGCUUAACACAUGCAAGUCGAACGGAAAGGCCUUGCUUUCUUGGGGUGCUCGAGUGGCGAACGGGUGAGUAACACGUAAGUAACCGACCCUAGACUUUCGGAUAACUUCAGGAAACUGGAGCUAUUACCGGAUAGGAUCUGCUCCUGCAUGGAGGGGGUUGGAAAGUUUCGGCGGUUGGGGAUGGACUCGCGUCUUAUCAGCUUGGUGGUGGGGUAGUGGCUUGCCAAGGCUUUCACGGGUAGCCGACCUGGGAGGUUGACCGGCAACAUUGGCCUUGGGUUAGCACCCGGAGUCCUUCGGGAGGCAGAAGUGGGAGAUAUUGCCAACUGUGCCGAAGGCUGAUCGAAGGCCGCCGCGUGCGGGAUGCCGUUUUUCGGGUUGUAAACUUCUUUCGUGUGUAACCAAGCGUGAGGCCCGUUAAUGAGUAAAGAGCCACCGCUUAACUCCGUG
rnacentral:rRNA from 1 species